AUGGUGGAGUCCGCCUACAAAGCACAAUUUCUUGGACUCAUUCGCUCUCCCUCAGAACAUGCAGUGUGGAAAAUUUGGGCUUCAUCCAAGGUCAAGUUUUUUGCUUGGCUGGCCAUCCAAAAUAUAGUUUGGACCACGGAUAGAUUGGCCAAGCGCGGUUGGCCUAAUUGUGGCUCGUGCCCCUUAUGCAUGCGUGAGAAUGAAUCGGUUGACCAUCUCUUCUUCAAAUGCCGGUUCACCAUUCGCCUAUGGGGUUUGAUCAAGGCGUGGCUGCAACUCAUUCACGUUGACACCUCCACUUGGCCCCUGAGGAGUUCCACCUUAGAUAGGUGGCUUGGGUUCACCGAUGCUUCCGUCCCCAACCGGAAGGCCAUGGCCUCGCUCACCAUGCUCACCACAUGGACGAUCUGGAACGAGAGAAACGUCCAUGUGUUCUGCAACAUGGCCGCCAUGAUAACCAUCAUGCCGGAAGGGUGA
rnacentral:rRNA from 1 species